GUGAUUAGCUUUCACGCUCCGGGUCGGCGCGCGCACGCGCAGCGGCGGAAGGCCGGGUUUCUAGAGUGCGAUGGCUGUCAAGGGUUUUGCUUUACGCCUCAGAGGCUCCCGGCGUUUUCUGAGUGGCUUUGUGGCCGGGGCUGCAGUGGGCGCCGCGGGAACGGGACUGAUGGCGCUACAGUUCUUCCGGAGUGAGGACGCGGAGCCAGCGUUGACGGCCAGGGAGCCGGACGGAUCUGAAGAAAAGGCUGUUUUGGAACAAUUUGGAUUCCCUUUAACUGGAACAGAGACCAGAUGUUACACUAAUCAUGCGCUGUCUUAUGAUCAGGCAAAGCGAGUACCUAGAUGGGUUCUUGAACAUAUAUCUAAAAGCAAGAUCAUGGGUGAUGCAGACAGAAGACAUUGUAAAUUCAAGCCUGACCCCAGUGUCCCUCCAGCAUUCAGUGCCUGCAAUGAGGACUAUGUUGGAAGUGGCUGGUCACGAGGACACAUGGCUCCGGCAGGAAAUAACAAAUUUUCAAGUAAAGCCAUGGCUGAAACCUUUUACCUUUCUAAUAUUGUGCCUCAGAAUUUUGAUAAUAAUUCUGGAUAUUGGAACAGAAUAGAAAUGUACUGUCGUGAACUGACAGAGAGGUUUGAAGAUGUUUGGAUAGUUUCGGGACCUUUGACCUUACCUCAGUCUAAAAGUGAUGGAAAGAAGACAGUUACUUAUCAGGUGAUUGGAGAGGACAAUGUGGCAGUCCCCUCACAUCUUUACAAGGUGAUCCUGGCUCGCAGAAGCCCAGAGUCUAUUGAGCCGCUGGCCCUGGGGGCCUUUGUGGUGCCCAAUGAAGCCAUUGGCUUCCAGCCUCUGUUGACCGAAUUUCAGGUGAGCCUCCAGGACCUUGAGAAGUUGUCAGGACUGGUGUUUUUCCCUCACUUGGAUAGAACUAGCAAUAUCAGGAAUAUCUGUGCAGUGGACACCUGUAAGCUCCUGGAUUUCCAGGAAUUCACUCUAUACCUGAGCACAAGAAAGAUUGCAGGAGCCCAUUCCGUGCAUAAGCUGGAAAAAGUCAUGGAAAAUUUGAAGAAUGCAGGGAUUGAACCAGAUGAUUACUUCCUGAGCCGCUAUGAGAAGAAACUAGAAGAACUAAAAGCCAAGGAACAGCUGGGUACCCAGACAAGAAAACCAUUCUAAUUACCUCAGAAGAUAAGUGCUGAUCCACUAUAAGGAAGCAGCCCCAGUUACUCCUAGGCACAAGAUAUCCUACCUCUGGUGAUGUCCUCUAAGGUGGCAGGGGUGGGAGCAGUGACAAGCGGAGCCCUAGCACCCCUGAGGCUUGAGCACAGCUGGCUCCUUGUUAAGACUGCCAGGCAGCACAACAUUUUAGUUCCCUCUCACUGCCCAUGAAGGAUCCCUGGCUUCUCCUGCCAGCUCCCAAUUGACAUGCUCUGUGCCUACUCAUGCCCCCUGCCUCCACUCUCCCUGCUGCUUCUAAGAAUGCGUUGGACCCCUUGCCAGCCAUGCCACUGAAACACAGGUGACAGAGACCAGGCCUGGGGCACCGAUGGAAGAGCACUGGCCUGGGGGUGUUUACCCUAGCUGAGUGGAGCCCCGGACAACAUGACAUGACUGCACCCUCUUUACUCUGGCCCCUCCUCAGGGAUGAAAACACUCUGAAGAGGGAAAUGGGAGUGACAGGAAGAAGUCCUGUAGAGGUUCACCGUCAUCAUCGCCGUCGUCAUCCCGGAUGUAAUUUAAGUGCUCACUAUGUGCCAGGGACUAUUGUAAAUUCUUACAUGUCUUAUACAAUCCCCUUAUGCCUGAGGAAGAAAGUGUUCUUAUCCCUGUGUCACAGAGGAGGAGGCACGACAGACUAACGCAGAGAAGCCAUGGCACAGUGAUGAUGUCACACGCCAGGGCGCCUUGCUGCUUUACCUGAUGUCAGCACUGCAUAUAAAGUGUUCAUGUGAAGCUCUAGCUGGAAGGGUGGCCAAUAAACAUGAAAAGAUGCUCAGCAUUGUUAGUCAUGGAAAUGCACAUUAAAAUUAGACACUCCCACUGAAAUGGCUAAAUUUAAUUAAAGGCAAAGUACAAAGACUGACAAUUCCAAAUGUUGGCAAUAAGAACUCUCGCUGAAUGAAAAACAUACUUUGGAGACCAUUUUGACAGUUCCUUAUAAAAUUAAGGAUGUACUACUCAUGUAACCCUAAAGUUCUUUUACUAGGUAUUUACCCAAAAGAUAAAAACACAUGACCACACAGAUGCCCAUAUACACACGUCCAUAGCAGCUUUAUCGUAGCCCAAAAUUUGCAAACAACCCAGUAUUCAUCAACUAUCGAAUAGAAAACGAAGCGCAAUACAUCCUUAUGACAGAUACUUCUCAACAGGCCAGCGUAACAGGCUGGUGCAUGUAACAACAUGGGUCCAAGUGCAUUAGGCUCAGGGAAAGCAGCCAGGUGCAGGAGGCUACAUACAAUGUGAUUUCAUUUAUUGAAAUUCUCCAGAAAACGCAAAUCUAUAGGAACAAGAAACAGUGGUUCCAGGAGCUGGGGGUAGUGGAAAGGGUUGACUGUGAAGGAGACAAUAGAACUUGGCAUGGUGGGAAUGUUCAGUAUCUUAAUGAAGGUGGUGGCUACCUUGUGUAUGCAUUUGUCAAAACUUUCCAAGCUGUGCAUUUAAAAGAGGGAGUUUAAUUGUAUAUAAAUUAUACCUCAUUAGCCUGAUUUAAAAAUUAAAACAAAGGUAUGGGGAAGGGAAGAAAUUAAGAUGAUCAUGGUUCAUAUCUUACUUUUCUGUUGCUGG